rnacentral:rRNA from 1 species
UACGUAGGGUGCAAGCGUUGUCCGGAAUUAUUGGGCGUAAAGAGCGUGUAGGCGGCUUGGUAGGUCUCGCGUCAAAACCUGCGGCUCAACCGCAGUUCGCGUGGGAAACCACCUAGCUAGAGUCCGGAAGAGGAGAACGGAAUUCCCAGUGUAGCGGUGAAAUGCGCAGAUAUUGGGAAGAACACCAGUGGCGAAGGCGGUUCUCUGGGACGGUACUGACGCUGAGACGCGAAAGCGUGGGGAGCGAACAGG